rnacentral:rRNA from 1 species
UACGUAGGGGCGAGCGUUAUCCGGAAUUAUUGGGCGUAAAGAGUGCGUAGGUGGUUACCUAAGCGCAAGGUUUAAUCUUGAGGCUCAACCUCAUUCUGCCUUGCGAACUGGGCUACUUGAGUGCUGGAGGGGAAAGCGGAAUUCCCAGUGUAGCGGUGAAAUGCGUAGAUAUUGGGAAGAACACCGGUGGCGAAGGCGGCUUUCUGGACAGUAACUGACACUGAGGCACGAAAGCGUGGGGAGCAAACAGGAUUAGAUACCCUGGUAGUCCCUGA